rnacentral:lncRNA from 1 species
UGUUCAUUCUGCACAGUGCCUAUCACUGCAUAGACCUAGGAGGGCUUCUAUCUGGGUGUAACCAUGUGACAUCGACAAAUAUUUAAGGAGAGGAUUAUAGAAAUCGCUUAUUGCAUUAAAUCAACUCAUUUUUAGAUAGUGAACACCAUAAGGUGCGUUCUAAAUGUCCUUAUUCUGUUUGCUAAUCAGGAUUCGUUAUAAGCUCCCAGAACAUAGAUAUAAGAUCAUAGUCCUUCAGCGCCCCCCAACACUAGACACUUUUUUACCCAUCAAUAACUGUUGACAAAUCGUCUGAAUUGGUGUUUCAAAUCUGAUAAGUCAUCCCCGGGGCAUUAACUCUGUAAAAUAAAAGCUUAUUUCUUAAGCUCUUUCUAGAAAUUGUUAUGAGUAUAUGAGUAAAAAUAAGCUGUUAGGGGUGCUCAUUUUAAGGUGACAUAUGUAACUGAAUUUAUGGUUUUAAUUCCUUCUAACUCAGAUUUUUCAAGAGGGCUUGAUAGAUUUAAUUUUGUUAUUUUAAAGAAGAAGAUGAAAUAGGUAGAUCAAAGUUCUUUUAAAUCUUUAAAUAUCUCUUGCCUUCUCCAAAGGCAAUUCUAGAACUCUCUAAUUCUGUAUAAUUAUGAUCUUAACUCUGUGACAGGGAACUGGCUAACAAAUUAGUUUAUAAAAUAUAUUUUAAUAUUCAAAAGGCAACUCACUUGCUUUUUACUAGCUCUUUCUUCAACUGAAUGUGUUUAUUAUUGUAGAACAAUCUUCAGGGAGUACUGUCUUAUUUGUAGCAAAAGUUUUUCUGAAGUUUUUUUAGUUAUAAACUACCUGAAAUCAAAGACUUGGAAGACGGUCACUUUUAAUCCAAUUAAAAUGGCCACACAGUUUCAUUUCCUUUUUCAAACAAAGUUUCAAAGUAGAAACCUCUAAAGGUCUUCUUGUACUGGCUUUAUCAUACAUAAAAGUGAUCUCAUCGUAUGCUAUUCUAAUGACUAGGGAUUGUGGAAAUUUCCAUAGAAAUGCAUUUAAUCUUAAAUUACAGAUACACAGAUAAAUAUUUGUAUUAUACAUAUUUAUGGACAUGAAAAAUUAGAGUUUAUGCUGUAAUCUCAUGAAUUAGAAUUUGACUAUUUGGAAUGAUCUAAUCACUAGAAAAAUUCCUGAUGCUGGACACUGGUAUUUGUAUUUAAUUUCCCCUGUUCCUUUGUAUUUCUGGAUCCUAUAAGGAUCUGGGCAUCUCCUAUAAACAGGGCUUGUACCUUUGUGCUGUCUUAACACUGGCUGUUCAAAAGAUCCGCAUAAGCAUGAAAAACAAUCUGGCAGCAACAGAGAAGAUAAGAAAAAUGUGUGUUGUGUUCAUCUGCCCGCGACUUUCUACUUCUCCCAGUUGUCUGGCCUCUGGGUAGUUUGGGUGAGGUUAAUGUUAGCCACUUUGGCACUGACUGUAUUAGUUCCAUCAGCAAAGCCCAUCUUCCUGGGUCAUAUAUGGAUAGGUGACUCAGUCCAGACCAAAGAAAAGUGAAAGGAUAGUUGAUGUGGGCUUUGGAAGAAGAUUCUUCUUUGUCCUGUUGGGACAGCUACUGGAAAAAAAUCCUCACUCUCUCUGGACAAAGAAAAGGAAACCCAGGGUCUCAACUGUGCCUGGAAGCCUGUAGUAACCUUAGGACAAAGAGUAGCCCAGGGAUGCCUAAGCAGAAGGAGAAAAGGCAUCCAUAAACUUGAUGGUAUCACCAAGCUGCAAACCCAACCAACCACAAAGCUUUGCUGGUCUCUGCACCUUCCUGUUAUUCUUUUCUCCAUUUUGUCAUUGAAAGCCCUCCGGGUGUCACAGUGACCACAGUGAUGCUUAAGCAACCGAUAGACAAAGGACAUUCACAUUCAGGAUUUCCUCUGACUCUCACCGAGUGUGAUGAUUAUCCCCAGUGUACAGUGGAAGAAAGAGAGACAGAAAAAAUUAAGGGACAUUCCUAAGGUCCACAUGGUGAAUUGGACUGUCCUUUGCAAGAUAUUUUGAAAGAAGAUAAAUAGAAGUCUUACAGGGCCUCUUUUUAUGUUUUACUUCUUUAAUUAAAAAAAUUUAUUGAGAUAGAAUUGACUUAUAACGUUGCAUAAGUUUAAGAUGGAUCUUGAGGGCAUUAUGCCAAGUGAGAGAAGUCAGGCAGAUAAGGACAAAUACUGUCUGAUAUCACUCAUAAGUAGCAUUGCAGGGUCCUCUCAUAUAUUCCUUCUUUUGGUCAUUCCUCCACAGGGUGUGUAACCAGGUAAGUCUCUAGGAAUGGCACCAAACCAGUGAUUGUUCUAGAUGGGGUUCUUUCGUAGCUACAUAUCCCUUAACCCACCUGCCAUGUAGAAGACUCCUAGUGCCAUAAAUUGACUCUGCUUGAGGAAUGAAUCUUCACAGACACAAUGAAACCUGAGAAGCAAAGACUGAGAAGUAAGAUUUUAUCUCAUUGGAAAGAUCUACAAGAAGGCAGAACAUGGGGAGCAGUAACCAAUAGUUCAUCACAUGAAAGAAGUGCUUGUCCUGUUCUUUCUGAGAUGGACAACCUCAUCUGGAAUGCAUUUAUGCUCAUUGCAGGCUUCCACCUCCUUUUUAGCAGAAUAUUCUUCCCAGCUCUGUUAGGACACCCUUCCACUCCCAGUGUUGCUACUGCUGGAAGUCUCAAAUCACACGAGUAAUGAGACACCCAGUGAUACAGUACUGUGUUAUAUCAAGGAACCUCCAGUCACUCAUGCGUCACACCUCAUUAAUUAGGUGCUAAUUGCGAAAGCUAUGUGAAAGUAGUUUUUGCCUUGCUCUGCGCCCUAACAACCUCAUCUCAGUUAAGAGACUCCCAUCAACAUCAAAGCCUCAGAGAAACAGGUCUAAUAUUGGCAAUGUUGAGGCUACAGAUUUUAGUCUCAAAGGAAAGAUGUGCAAAAGCUCGAGUUUUCCUAGCUGGGCUAAUGUCCUCAUUAUCUAUUCAACCUGCUCUCAAAAGGACAAAAUACAACAUGACACAAUUAUCUUUCCUACAAGGACUUGUAUUUUGAUGGUCGCUUAUUAAUCAGUUAUCCAAGAGGAAAAGUCAUAUCAUUUCAAAAAAAAAUGACAAAGAUAUUACUCAAAAGCAAAUUGGAUUUCUCCUAAGACAACUACUUUUAAAAUAUUCCUGCUUUUACAAUGACAGAGUAAGGAUCAGUUUCAUUAGGAUACUCAACUUUAAUAAAUCAAAUGUUAACUGCCUGAUUUUGUUCAAAACAAAUUAGUUCAUGUCCCUAAAAUUGAGGCAUGAACUCAUUUACUUGACAUGGCUCAGACAUGACUGAACAUAUUUACAAAAAUUCUCUAAAAUAAAUCUCCUUUGGAUAAGUAAUUGAUUGACAAAAUCACUAGAGAAUAAGAGACUUGAAAGAAACUGAAGUAUGAAAUGUAAACUUUGGAAAUUUCUUUUACUGGACUUUAAUUUUCUUUGGAAAACCAAUCUAAAUUUAGAUAAAUUGCCAAAGAUAUUUUGAAAUAUAACUUGCCUGAAAUAUAGGAAUCAUCAGUAAUCUCUUGUUACAUUAUGUAUCAAAUUAUUGAAUGCCACUAGGAGUUCAUAAUUCCUAUUUAAAUGGUGUGCUUGGAGCAGAAGGAGGAUCUCCUACAUUAAUGGUAAAAAUCAAUUAAAAACCCAUCUAUUGACCAAAAAUCAGUGUGACCCUACUGGAUUGUCUUUUCCCUUAAGGAAAGUGUCGUUUAAAAGAGACGAUGGUUGUAAUUUGGAAGUAGAGACAGUACAGAGUUUAGUGUGGCGUGGUCUUGUCUUAGGGACGCUUAGACCAGGGCCUUAUGGGGUUGUAGCGACAGGCUUGCAAAAGACAAGAGCUGGAAGUCGAAGGGUAAGAGUGAGAAGAACCCACUGGACCAUGAGAUUCCUCCCUUCCCUCACCUCAGAGAAUGAGCACCAGCCCCAGUGACUGUGCACCAAUGCGCUUCACCUUGGAUCUUGACUGCGGAGAUGCCAUGAUACAGAGCCCCUCAUACUGGGCAGCAGGAAUGUGGAUACAGAGACCCUCAGAGUGGGCAGCAGGCAUGUCCAGCCUCAGGGCAGCGACAGCAACAGUGCUGGGAAUGGGAAGCUCCGUCUGGUGGACAGCUCUGAUGUGGAGGACAGACACAGCUCCUGAGGGAGAGAAGGCUGACAAAAUCUGAUAGGGUGUUUGGGCUCCAGCCUGAACUGCAGAACCAUGCAGCCUCCGCAUGAAGCCAUGAAGGCAGGUCUAGGUGCACAAGUGAGGCAGAUGAAGCCCGGCAGGCAGCAAAAUGGCACACUCUUCCCAAGACAUGUCACUCUGAACUGGCAAGAUGUAUUGCCACCCCCUGUCUAAUGACCGAGGUGCUUGCUAGAACUGGUUUAUGGGCUUAAGGCAGAGCUGGCCGAUCGAAGGUCUUCAGGGACAUCCACUGAGCAAACCUAAAAAGAAAGAAUAUGGAUUGAUAGCCCCUGCGUAUAUGGAUUUUUAAUUUGGGAUUAUGUAGUUUCUUUGGGGAGGCUGUAAAAGUCCCUGGAGAUCUUCAUAAAUAAAAAGGAUACUCAUCAGUCAGAAAUCAGGGAGAGGAAAUCAAUCAUUUCUGGAGAUGUUUUGCCUCCUAAUGGUGCGCUUUCAAGUUUUCCAUGGAUGGCAUUUUCCAUCACUUUACUUUGGAAGGUGCACCUGUCAUGAGGUCAUCUCUCUAAGAGCAUAAAUCCCAGAGUAAAGACUUACUGUUGGUUCUCUCCCCUUCUUUUUGAAGCUACUGAAGACCCAUGACAUAAAAAAUCAAAAUGGAUUUUUAAAAGAUUGAGUCCAGCAAUUGUGUCACUGCCUGUUUUUUUCCUUCCAAAUUAGAGAAUGCUAUUGGAAAUCUCCUGAAG